GCCAGGGUAAACUAUGGAGGUUGUUGGGUUCAUACCCCAAAUGAAGAAGUGAUUCUCCUUGGCG
rnacentral:tRNA from 1 species